GUGAAUAUGCAUAAUUACAGAGGAAGGGAAGAGAUGCUCUAUUCUGUCAAAUAGCAAGAGCAAACUGCAUGGCUGGCUGUAUCAGAAGAGGAAGACGCUUUAAAGAUUUCUAUUCAGUUCAAUGUGCACUGGAUCAGACCCUAGAAGGGUUAGAUGGUGACCUAGAGUGUGCAUCCCAGCAAGAGAUGAAUAUUGCCCCAUGCCAGGUGCAGCACUAGGAAGCACUGUUACUCAGGGACAAGCCUCACCUGCAAUUCCUUCCCUGUUCUCUCCUUGCUCUCAAGGAGUAAUAAUUCACAGCUGCUAAAGGCCAGUUGUAAAUUACUGCCCUCCCAUACUGACUCACCUGCUUUGUCCAGUAGAUAGAGCUCCCACCAUUCCCCAUCACCAUGCUCCGGAGAGGGAGUAAAUGGGCAAGUAGCCCUAUUUACUUCCAUUCAACUUGACCCAAGAAGCCUGCAUACAUGUAAAGCAAGUUCUGAGUUGUUUGUAUGGUACUUUGUCCAUGUCAUAAUUUAGUAUCUGGUUCUAAGGUAGGCAGACAUCUGUUGAGAAGUGAGAGAUUCUGUGCUGCGGAUUGGCAUCAAUACUAUUUGAUUUGUACCAUUCUGCCAAUAGUGUAGGCUUCUUCUGUGUGUGUAGCUGGAAUUACAGCAAGUUAAAAUUUAGGCCAGAUUUAAAUAUGAAGCAAGACUACUUUUUAAGAGCACGUAACUUAUUUAUAAAAUUCCUAAACUAUAAAAUGUAUGUGUAACUAGUACUGUACCUCCUUUCCAGCCAGAUUUAAAGAAACAUCUUGCCAAAUGAGGUUUGAAUUACACUAAUUGAACUGGUUAAGUACCGUAAUUCAAAUGAUAAUGCCAUAUAGCUGUCUUCAGAAAAAAAUAUUUGGUGCCAGAUGCUAUUCAGAUGCUUUAAAAGGCCAUUUAAACAUGGAUAUUAAUAUGCAAGAUAUGCUGGCAGUAUUUAACAAACUCUCUUACUUCAUUUGAGUUUGCAAGAACAUAAAAGAUCAAACAAAGAUUAGUGGAAGUUUCAGAUUGACAUGAGAAAUCUGACAAAUAAUAAAGAGCAAAAUUCUGCAGCCCAUUUUCAGUCAAAGUUCCUGUUGAUGUUAAUCAGAGUUUUGCCUGGGUAAGGACUGAAUGAAGUCUACAGGCUUUGUGCCAAGACGACUUAGAGUGAGCCACCUCCGAGACAUUUAAAGUAAGCUCUAGUUCAGAAUUUCUCAACCUUUUCAGGUUGGCAUCCCUUUAUUCAAAAUCAGAAAUUAAUGUGAGCCCCUUACAUUUACUGUAAAAGAUUAAAAAUAACUACCAGUGCUAAGAGUGCUGAGCCUAUAGAAUUUAUUUGUGUUUUGAUAGGUUGACAGAGAAUACUUGACCUUG